rnacentral:pre_miRNA from 1 species
CUUUCCCAAUGCGUCAUCGCGGCGGAGGCCGGGAUCUCAGGCGUAUCCUGCGGCCAGCUCAUCUCCCCAGCUCCGGAGAUUCCGGCCUUCGCCGGGAUGACGUGGCGCGAAAA